rnacentral:tRNA from 1 species
GGGGAUUUAGCUCAGUGAUAGAGCUCUUGCCUAGCAAGUGCAAGGCCCUGGGUUCGGUCCCCAGCCCCG